rnacentral:tRNA from 1 species
GAGGGUGUAGCUCAGUGGUAGAGUGAGUGCCUCGCAUGCACAAAGUCCUGGGUUCAAUCCCCAGUCUCUCU